UACGGGGGGAGCAAGCGUUGUUCGGAUUUACUGGGCGUAAAGGGCGCGUAGGCGGCCACCGCAAGUCGACUGUGAAAUCUCCGGGCUUAACCCGGAAAGGUCAGCCGAUACUGCGGGGCUAGAGUGCAGAAGGGGCAACUGGAAUUCUCGGUGUAGCGGUGAAAUGCGUAGAUAUCGAGAGGAACACCUGCGGCGAAGGCGGGUUGCUGGGCUGACACUGACGCUGAGGCGCGAAAGCUAGGGGAGCGAACCGG
rnacentral:rRNA from 1 species